rnacentral:misc_RNA from 1 species
AACUUGUGGCAACGUAUCGCUUGGCUCUCGCAUCGAUUAAGAACGCAGCGAAAUGCGAUAAGUAAUGUGAAUUGCAGAUUUUCAGUGAAUCAUCGAAUCUUUGAACGCACCUUGCGCCCCUUGGUAUUCCGAGGGGCAUGCCUGUUUGAGUGUCAUUAAAUUCUCAACUCUGAUUUGAUUUGUUUCUUAUCGGGGCUUGGACUUGGAGUGUGCUGGCAAUCUGGUCGGCUCCUCUCAAAUGCAUCAGCGGAAUCUAACCUUUGAUUUCCGGAAGUCGGUGUGAUAAUUAAGUUGCGCCGUCAUUCGACUUUGAAGUCCGCUUAUAAUGGUCUUCGGACAACUCUUAUAAAAUUUGACCUCAAAUCAGGUAGGACUACCCGCUGAACUUAAGCAUAUCAAUAAGCGGAGGCU